rnacentral:rRNA from 1 species
UACAGAGGGGGCAAGCGUUGUUCGGAAUUACUGGGCGUAAAGGGCGCGUAGGCGGCCGCCUAAGUCAGACGUGAAAUCCCUCGGCUCAACCGGGGAACUGCGUCUGAUACUGGGUGGCUUGAAUCCGGGAGAGGGAUGCGGAAUUCCAGGUGUAGCGGUGAAAUGCGUAGAUAUCAGGAAGAACACCAAUGGCGAAAGCAGCUUUCUGGGACGGUACUGACGCUGAGACGCGAAAGCGUGGGGAGCGAACAGG